AGCAGCCGCGGUAAUUCCAGCUCCAAUAGCGUAUAUUAAAGUUGUUGCAGUUAAAAAGCUCGUAGUUGAAUUUCGGGAUCAUCAGGUCGGUCGUGCCUCCGGUAUGUACUGGUCUCGAUGGUUCCUCCUUCUUGUAGAACCGUAAUGCCAUUAAUUUGGUGUUGCGGGGAAACAGGACUGUUACUUUGAAAAAUUAGAGUGUUUAAAGCAGGCGAUCGCUUGAAUACAUUAGCAUGGAAUAAUGAAAUAGGACGUUCGAUCCUAUUUUGUUGGUUUCUAGGAUUGACGUAAUGAUUCAUAGGGAUAGUUGGGGGCAUUAGUAUUCAAUUGUCAGAGGUGAAAUUCUUGGAUUUAUUGAAGACUAACUACUGCGAAAGCAUUUGCCAAGGAUGUUUUCAUUAAUCAAGA
rnacentral:rRNA from 1 species